GGGAGCCAGGUGUCUGUCUGCAUGUGCCAAAGCAGGCAGGCCUGCUCUAUGCUCAUGAUCUCUGAGCAUAUGAGUGGGUACCUGUGGACAUCCUCAAUAUCAGAACCAGCAGCCUUUGGAGCUGAAAAGCAGAAAAGGGAUGGCAUCUGGCCAGGGAUGAGUUCUGUUCCCCACUGUAGUGGCUAUUCCUGGUUGUCAACUUGACAAUAUUUGGAAUGAACUACAAUCCGGAAUUGGAAGGCUCACCAGUGACCCUUAUCUGGAGGCUUGGAGAUCCUUAUCUGGAUCUUGGUUUGAAGAUCUUGAGCCAUAGUGGCUAUGGAUUCCAGAAGAUUGAAUCUCCGAGUUAAGGAACACACCUUUAAUCUGGGCUACGCCUUUCAUCUGG
rnacentral:lncRNA from 1 species